rnacentral:lncRNA from 1 species
CGGAGCCGAGAUUUUGGAGGCCCGGGACAAAUAAUAAAAAUAAAUACUUGAUAAAAAAACUUUUUUUUUUCCAAAAAAAGAACAUAAUCUGUUUAGAAAUUAAUUUUUUUUUAUAGAGUAAAAAUUAAUUAUUUAUUUUCAAAGAAACAAUAAAAUGUAUUUUUUUUAAAAAAAUAAUAAAGUAGUCGAGUUAUUUAUAAAUUUUAAAGUUUUUUUCUUUUUUUGUGACAGUUAUAAAGUUUUUUUUAUUUCUUUUUAUGCAAAGAGUAUUUAAUUUAUAGAAUAUAAACAAUAAUUGUGUAAAUUCAUUAUAAAAAUCUUAAAUAAAAGAAAAUAAAACUGUCCUAGGGGGGAAUCGAACUCACAACAGAAGCACUAUAACUUUUGGGCUAGAGCGC